rnacentral:rRNA from 1 species
UACGGAGGGGGCUAGCGUUGUUCGGAAUUACUGGGCGUAAAGCGCACGUAGGCGGCCUGUUAAGUCGGGGGUGAAAUCCUGGGGCUCAACCUCAGAAUUGCCUCCGAUACUGGCAGUCUCGAGUGCGGGAGAGGUGAGUGGAAUUCCCAGUGUAGAGGUGAAAUUCGUAGAUAUUCGGAAGAACACCAGUGGCGAAGGCGGCUCACUGGUCCGGUACUGACGCUGAGGUGCGAAAGCGUGGGGAGCAAACAGG